GGCGAAAAAUGAUGAAUCCAAAUUAUAUCAUUUGGGUGAUCAUCAAAUAUUUCAUUUAUUUGAUAUGAUCAGAAAUUUUACCGCUACGUUCUUUCUGAUUCCUCU